UACGAGGGGGGGCAAGCGUUGUUCGGAAUUAUUGGGCGUAAAGGGCGCGUAGGCGGUUUGACAAGUCUGAUGUGAAAUCUAUGGGCUCAACCCAUAGCCUGCAUUAGAAACUGUCGGGCUUGAGUAUGGGAGAGGUGAGUGGAAUUUCCGGUGUAGCGGUGAAAUGCGUAGAUAUCGGAAGGAACACCUGUGGCGAAAGCGGCUCACUGGACCAUAACUGACGCUGAGCGCGAAAGCUAGGGGAGCAAACAGG
rnacentral:rRNA from 1 species